GAUGAACGCUGGCGGCGUGCCUAAUACAUGCAAGUCGAGCGAACAGACGAGGAGCUUGCUCCUUUGACGUUAGCGGCGGACGGGUGAGUAACACGUAGGUAACCUACCUAUAAGACUGGGAUAACUUCGGGAAACCGGAGCUAAUACCGGAUAAUAUUUCGAACCGCAUGGUUCGAUAGUGAAAGAUGGCUUUUCUAUCACUUAUAGAUGGACCUGCGCCGUAUUAGCUAGUUGGUAAGGUAACGGCUUACCAAGGCAACGAUACGUAGCCGACCUGAGAGGGUGAUCGGCCACACUGGAGCUGAGACACGGUCCAGACUCCUACGGGAGGCAGCAGUAGGGAAUCUUCCGCAAUGGGCGAAAGCCUGACGGAGCAACGCCGCGUGAGUGAUGAAGGUCUUCGGAUCGUAAAACUCUGUUAUUAGGGAAGAACAAACGUGUAAGUAACUGUGCACGUCUUGACGGUACCUAAUCAGAAAGCCACGGCUAACUACGUG
rnacentral:rRNA from 1 species